CUGGAGUGUUCUCCUGCCCAGUCGGCCAGAACUCCAUGUACACAUACCGUGAGAGCAUUGUUCUGGGAGUAACAACCUUCUCAAACUCGGAAGUAAAGCAGAUCUUGAUCCAGUUAAGCUGUGAAUGGCCUGGAUUCUCGUAUGAUUUCCUGUCAAGAAACUGCAAUCACUUCACUAAUGAAUUCUGCGAAAAGCUUGGCGCUCGUAAAAUUCCAGGUACAGGUUCUUUUUAGAAACAGUUUAUUUGUAACUGAAAUAUCCUCGCCUUCCAUUUGUAAGUUAAACUAAGAUAGGUUAUGAAUUAUAUAAUCUUCAUGUGGUUUUUAAAUGUCAUCAUUACGUACAGUCCAUUAUUUUUAUUUGAGUUAAAAAAAUGAAAAAAGUCCAUAUCAUGGUAUUUUCCUGGGGCACUAUGCAGAGGCCUUCCUGUACCUCUGCUAGUUUCAAAGUGCCAAUUUCUCAUCUGUAAACAUGCGUUUUUUCACUUUGGCUAACUUUUAACUUUGUUAUCUUGAAGGUUGGGUUAAUCGUUUUGCAAAUGCUGGUUAUACAGCUAAUGUUGUUGCUGAGAAUACAGCUCUGCAGGUAAAUUAUAUAAACUGUUGCUGCUUGGCAUUCAUUUUCUGUUUACUCAAUAGGAAAUGAGUGCGUGCUUUUAUCUUUAUUUCUUAUCAUAUCAAAGUUCAAUUUGUCCUUCAAGUCAGGAUCGAACUCCUCACACCAUUUCUUAUUUGGAUACCAAUCACAAUUUUUUCCGACGAACCACUAAUCGCAAUUUCUUUAGCUAGUCAAUACAGUGAUGCUGCUAGCCGAUUUCACUGAUGCAAUUUAUAGUUGAUCAGCUAUUAUGUUAAAUUCUUCCUGAUCAUUCACAUGAUUCUGCUUUACUAUGUGUUUUGCAGUUCAGGCAAGCUAAAUCAGAUAUCGUCAAUGCCAGCAAGGCAGCGUAUAAUAAACUUACAACAGGCUUGGGUCAAAAUAACCAAGAUAAAGCAGAAACCCCAACUACUAAUCAGAAACGAAGCACCCCUUGGUUCCAGGGCAAUUGGUUCAAGGCCAUGGUCUCAGCAGGCGCGAAGCCCUCUACAAGGACAACGAACUUUUCACGAGAGGCGGGCGAUGGUCCAAAAUGACAUAGAACUGUCAGAAUGGGUGUAUAGGAACCCACCAACCCUUAGAAUGUAAUUAACUGGGUGAAGCCUGUAGAUGAUAUUGAUAUGUUUACAAACACGGAUAAUAUGACUGAAUUUUGUUCAUAUACAGAAGAAGACAUGCACAUUUAGCAUUUCUUUCAAUUCAUCUAGAGUGACUACUACUACUACUCUCUGACGCUCACACUUUGAUAAAAAAGAGUUCGUGCUGGAAACUGUUGCUAGUAUGACAUGUUUCCCAGUAGGCCAGAUACAUCCCCAUCAGAAAGGGUUCCUGACCAGGAUGUGGCUGCCGUGGAUGGCUUUCAGAAGCACCGAUGCGACGGACUGCACCGCAGCCGACGCUAUCCUCGCCUUGAUCUGCCCGCGCCUUGGCAUGUGCCUUGCGCUUCCUCCACCGCUUCUCCAUGGAGCCGCGGAGGAGGCCGCGGCGGCUGCUGCUGCAUGGCUGGUCAUCUUCCUUGUGUCAGUGACUAGGUGGAGGAGAAGGCAAAGACUCAGCUCCGCAGCUGCGCUUUUGGGUUUGUGAUGAUCUCCCUAGCUUUGUUGUGUGCUUGUUCUUGGCGUUGCAGAAGCACGCUGACCAGUGGCCCUUUUAUAGCGGUGUCA
rnacentral:lncRNA from 1 species